rnacentral:rRNA from 1 species
CCUACGGGUGGCAGCAGUGGGGAAUAUUGCACAAUGGGGGAAACCCUGAUGCAGCGACGCCGCGUGAGUGAAGAAGUAAUUCGUUAUGUAAGGCUCUAUCAGCAGGGAAGAAAAUGACGGUACCUGAGUAAGAAGCCCCGGCUAACUACGUGCCAGCAGCCGCGGUAAUACGUAGGGGGCAAGCGUUAUCCGGAUUUACUGGGUGUAAAGGGAGCGUAGACGGCAGUGCAAGUCUGGAGUGAAAGGCGGGGGCUCAACCCCCGGACUGCUUUGGAAACUGUGUUGCUGGAGUGCAGGAGGGGUACGCGGAAUUCGUGGUGUAGCGGUGAAAUGCGUAGAUAUUAGGAGGAACACCGGUGGCGAAGGCGGCUUACUGGACUGUAACUGACGUUGAGGCUCGAAGGCGUGGGGAGCAAACAGGAUUAGAUACCCUUGUAGUC